rnacentral:lncRNA from 1 species
UUUGCUUUUCGUGGCAAAAAAAAAAGGUACAGAGUUGGUCUUGUUUGAGUCGGCUGGCCAAGAAAUACAUAGCAAUAGAUAAGUAGGAAGCAGCCAGCCAGCAACAUUCCAAGCUGGUCUGGGUGCAUUUUUUUUCUCAGAACAAACUUACAGCAGAAUCGAGGUAAAUACAUUGUAUUUUUAGCAAAGGUUUUAGGAAACUUCAAACAGAUGACAUUCAGUUUGUUACACAAACAGAUAGUAGCAUUCAGUACAUUACACAGUAGGGAAAUUCAACAAAAGUGGCAAAUGAGCACACAGAAAUAAGUAACGGUAUAAUCCAGAGGCUGAGUGCGCUAAUUCAGAGGCCAGUUCUAGUCCAAUGCCGUCAGUACCUUAGCCUCGCCCAUCCUCCAAUUCACAAGGAACAGAGAUCAUCAGACAAUUAGAAAUUCCAAAUCCAACUUGCCGAACAAUUAUAACAGAGCCAUUAUCGAUCAAUUAAAGCAAAGCUAUAAUGCAGCAAGGUAGUAAAGUGAUCAUGUUGUUUUUAGGAACCAAUGGAGAACAACCUAAAGACCGAUGCUUAUUAGUGCAAGAAUUAACCAGGCA